CUGUGAGGGCUCGGCACUGCAGGAUGCCGGGGGGAGGGCUGUUGUACUGGACAGCACCCCUGCCCCUACACCCACAGAGGACCUCACGCCAGGCAGUGUGGAGGAAGCUGAGGAGGCUGAGCCAGAUGAGGAGUUCAAAGAUGCAAUAGAGGUGGGUGGCCCUCUCCCAGUUACUGACCAGGCCAGAUACUGGGUGGGCUGAGAACUCUGUGUGCGUCUGUGUUUUCCAACAUCCACAUGGGAAGCCAGAACUCGCUGAGCUAGAAUUCACUGGCUCCAACAGUACCACUGGUCCCUUCUACCAUCAUCUGUCCUGGGUGCCCAGGCAGGGCUGGCUCUGCUGGCCUGUGCAGGCCACUGCCGGGUGUUGGUGGUUCGUCACCUGGGUUGGAGGUCAUGAUGUCAGGGGUCUGUUUGGGGAAGGCCCCACCCUGUACACUGAGGUCCAUAGAUGUUCCCUUGGAGGGUGGGGAAAGUGGUUACAUGGCCAAGCUCUAGUUCAGGGAAAGUUCAGCAACCUGGAUUUAGACAGUGAUU
rnacentral:lncRNA from 1 species